rnacentral:tRNA from 1 species
GAGGGUAUAGCUCAGUGUGGAGUGCAUGCUUAGCGUGCACAAGUCCUGAGUUCAAUCCCCAGUACCUCCG